GGAGCGCUGGCGCAACGGUAGCGCGUUCGACUCCAGAUCGAAAGGUUAUCCGUUCAAAUCGGGUGCGCUUCA